GAUGAAGAACGCAGCGAAAUGCGAUAAGUAAUGUGAAUUGCAGAAUUCAGUGAAUCAUCGAAUCUUUGAACGCACCUUGCGCCCUUUGGCCAUUCCGAAGGGCAUGCCUGUUUGAGUAUCAUGAACACCUCAACUCUUCAUGGUUUUCCGUGAUGAGCUUGGACUUUGGGGGUCUUGCUGGCCUAUGGUCAGCUCCUCUAAAAUAAAUCAGCUUGCCAGUGUUUGGUGGGUAUCACAGGUGUGAUAACUAUCUACGCUUGUGGUUUUCCACCAGGUAACCUUCAGCAGUGGAGGUUCGCUGGAGCUCACAGAUGUGUCUCUCCUCAGUGAGGACAGCUCUUUGAAUGUUUGAUCUCAAAUCAGGUAGGACUACCCGCUGAACUUAAGCAUAUCAAUAGCGGAGGA
rnacentral:misc_RNA from 1 species